rnacentral:rRNA from 1 species
GGGACCGACCUUCGGGAGCCUAUACAGGUGUUGCAUGGCUGUCGUCAGCUCGUGUCGUGAGAUGUUCGGUUAAGUCCGCUAACGAGCGCAACCCUCGUCGUAUGUUAUAUGUGUCAUACGAGACUGCCGGUAAAAGCCGGAGGAAGGUGAGGAUGAUGUCAAGUCAGCAUGACCUUUAUAUCCAGGGCUACACACACGCUACAAUGGUCUGUACAAUGGGUAGCCAAGCCGCGAGGCGGAGCCAAUCCUGAAAAGCAGGCCUCAGUUCAGAUUGCAGUCUGCAACUCGACUGCAUGAAGGCGGAAUCGCUAGUAACCGCGAAUCAGCAGGUCGCGGUGAAUACGUUCCCGGGCCUU